UGGGGAAUUUUGGACAAUGGGCGCAAGCCUGAUCCAGCCAUGCCGCGUGCAGGAUGAAGGCCUUCGGGUUGUAAACUGCUUUUGUACGGAACGAAAAGGUGCCUUCUAAUAAAGGGCGCUCAUGACGGUACCGUAAGAAUAAGCACCGGCUAACUACGUGCCAGCAGCCGCGGUAAUACGAAGGGUGCAAGCGUUACUCGGAAUUACUGGGCGUAAAGCGUGCGUAGGCGGUUCGUUAAGUCUGUCGUGAAAGCCCUGGGCUCAACCUGGGAAUUGCGAUGGAUACUGGCGGUCUAGAUUACGGUAGAGGACGGUGGAAUUCCCGGUGUCGCGGUGAAAUGCGUAGAGAUCGGGAGGAACACCCGUGGCGAAGGCGGCCAUCUGGACCAGUACUGACGCUGAGGCACGAAAGCGUGGGGAGCAAACA
rnacentral:rRNA from 1 species